rnacentral:rRNA from 1 species
GAUGAACGCUGGCGGCGUGCUUAACACAUGCAAGUCGAACGGAAAGGCCCUGCUUUUGUGGGGUGCUCGAGUGGCGAACGGGUGUGUAACACGUGAGUAACCUGCCCUUGACUUUGGGAUAACUUCAGGAAACUGGGGCUAAUACCGGAUAGGAGCUCCUGCUGCAUGGUGGGGGUUGGAAAGUUUCGGCGGUUGGGGAUGGACUCGCGGCUUAUCAGCUUGUUGGUGGGGUAGUGGCUUACCAAGGCUUUGACGGGUAGCCGGCCUGAGAGGGUGACCGGCCACAUUGGGACUGAGAUACGGCCCAGACUCCUACGGGAGGCAGCAGUGGGGAAUAUUGCACAAUGGGCGGAAGCCUGAUGCAGCAACGCCGCGUGCGGGAUGACGGCCUUCGGGUUGUAAACCGCUUUCGCCUGUGACGAAGCGUGAGUGACGGUAACGGGUAAAGAAGCACCGGCUAACUACGUG